UACGAAGGGGGCUAGCGUUGUUCGGAAUUACUGGGCGUAAAGGGCGCGUAGGCGGCGUGUCAAGUCAGGCGUGAAAGCCCCGGGCUCAACCUGGGAACCGCGCUUGAGACUGGCAUGCUCGAGUUCGGGAGAGGAUGGUGGAAUUCCCAGUGUAGAGGUGAAAUUCGUAGAUAUUGGGAAGAACACCGGUGGCGAAGGCGGGUCUCUGGGCAAUAACUGACGCUGAGGAGCGAAAGCGUGGGGAGCGAACAGG
rnacentral:rRNA from 1 species